GACGAACGCUGGCGGCGUGCUUAACACAUGCAAGUCGAGCGGUAAGGCCCUUUCGGGGUACGACGAGCGGCGAACGGGUGAGUAACACGUGGGUGACCUGCCCUCAGCUCUGGGAGUAAGCCUGGGAAACUGGGUCUAAUACUGGAUAUGACUCCACGGUGCAUGUCGUGGGGUGGAAAGCCUUGUGCGGCUGAGGAUGGGCCCGCGGCCUAUCAGCUUGUUGGUGGGGUGAUGGCCUACCAAGGCGACGACGGGUAGCCGGCCUGAGAGGGCGACCGGCCACACUGGGACUGAGACACGGCCCAGACUCCUACGGGA
rnacentral:rRNA from 1 species